GGAGGCGGGAGGCCGGCGGGCGGGGACGACUCCCUGUUGCUUCCGCCUCCCGAGGCCCGCCCUGCGGCCGGGCCGCGGGGACCGUGCCCCUUGGGGAGCCUCGGACCCGCGGCCCGGCUCCUCACCCCACCCCCCACCCCCUACCCCCCACCUCCGCACGCUCCCAAACUUCUGUCUCCCUCCCGAAGGCCCGAUGGCGGCGCGGGACCCGCCAGACGGGCCUGCGUCGCGCCCUGGUGCUGGGCCCGUCGCCACGCGUGGCCGCUCCUGGUUUGCAGGUGCCACAUGGGGCCGAGUCGUGCCUCAGGUGGCUGCCCAGCUUCGCUCAGCUUUUGUGCGCUGGGGUGAAGGCAAAUCUACUCUGUCCUUCUGUCCUGCCCUGUGCCCAGGAGGCCAGUGGCUGUCUUCACUGGACCUUCACCAACAGGACAGCCUGCUUCGGGUUGAAGUCGGCUGAGAGCCUGGGUGUGCCCUCCUCCCCUCCCGCCUGGCCUCUACCAGGACCGUGUCUGUGUCCCUCUGUGAGGACAGGGCUUGUAGGCCUUCCUGUUCAGUUGUGACAACUGGUGUCAGGCUCCAAGAACGAAUCCCUGCCUCUUUAGGCUGCGGUGCUGUCCCUGGACAGCAGCACCCCUGGCUGGGUCACAGAACCGUGACGGUGCCGCAGCAAAUGUCUCUCCCUCACACCGUCUCCUAAGUCUCUCAAGCCCCCUGCUUCCUGCCAGGACCUUGAUGGCUGAGCCAGAUUUUGACUAGCCUUCUGCCUUGCAAACAGUGACAUUUGGAUGGAGGGUGUGCGGGCACAAGCAGACGUCUUGCAGGGCUGCUGGCAAAGGCUGCCCGUCUCUCAGGAGGGUCUGUUUUAGUCAACGGUGCAGACACAUGCCCUCUGUCCUGGCUGGUGGAAACCCAUCCUGCUCCAGGGCCCUGUCCCUGCAUGCCGAGGGGCAAACCCCGGGUCCUAUCAGCCAUUCCUCGCAGUGACUGCUUUAAAACAAGUCAAAGCCAAUGAGUCCUGCUGUGGGGGAAAUGACUGCUCACUCUUAAAAAGGCACAUAAAGAGGAAGCCCUCCUCACAUCUGGCCGGGUCCCAUGUCUGGGACGGGGCCCCCCUCAUGUCUGGCCGGGUCCCACGUCCGGGACAGGAGGUCACUUGAGGAACUUCGUCACCGUGGGGAUGACAGCACGGGAAGAUGGGAGGAAGCAUGGGUCCCCGAUGACACCAUUGGGCCAUUAACCAAUCCUCCUGCAGCUGUGAGCAUCUUAAUUUAAAAUCUAUGGAAACAGAUCAGUUAGGACUCUAUAAAAGGAACAGAAAAUCCAAGUCCCCUGUGAACCAGUUACCUCUGUACGACAAAUCUCUACAAACUUGGGGGCUUUGACAAUAAGUGUUUAUUUCCCAGGACCCCGUGGUUUGGUGGGAUGGCUCCUUGGUGCUGACAGGGACUGUUCGUGCACCUGCAUUCUCUGGGGGACUCCGCUGGGCCUGGAAGGUUCUGGAAGGUUCAGGGGCUUCAGUCAUGUCCAGUGUCUCAGCCUGGGGGAUGAAAAGCUGGGAGCGGGCUUACCUCUGUUGCUCCACACGGCUUCUCAUCAGUCUAGCCUCUGCUUCCUUACGCGGCAGCUGGAAACCGAGAGGGCCAAAGUAGACGUUAUACAGCCCCUGAAAGCCGGGACACUGCUUCUGCCACAUUCUCUCAGGGAAAGUAGGUUCCAAAGCUGGCCCAGAUCCAAGGAGAAGAGUAGACUAGAUUUCACAUCUUGGUUGGAGGAGGGCCUGGCAGCAUGAGAGGAGAGAACUGUGUGUGGUCAUCUUGGAAAUCGUCUGCACAGACUGACUUAAAGAGUCGUGGGAAGUAUUGCCAGGAUCACGGCCAGUCCCUAGUGAAAUGGCAGCGGGAAUAUGUGUCUCUCCGUUCCCACUGGGCAGAGAGAAUCUUGGACUCUGACUGGGUCGGCUAAGUGCACAUCCCUGGAUGGUAGAAUGCCGGUAGAUGGUCGGCAUAGGCCUGGAUUUAGUGCAGAGCCUUGACUGCUGACUGGCGAGCACCCGAGGAGAAUGGAGGGAUCUUACUCAUCGUCAGGUCAUGGGGACCCCCGCUGCCAACCCCCACAGCAUGGCUGCCUCACCACGGCAAGUGCUGUCUGGUGACAGCGGGGACAAAGCAGGAGGCAAACUCCAGAACUGAAGUCAAACUGCGGGUUCGCCUCUGGAUGCUCACCCACACCUGUGCACAGACUCGCGAACACCUGCUGUGCGUCCCUCCCCUCCACCUUGGAGAUGCCUCCGAUGGUAACCAGGGGUCUUGGGUUCAUUGACUUCUAAGUGAGAAAAACUUUGGGGAAAUAAGAAUGGGGGGGGGGCGAAAAAGUGGAACCUUCCAGGAAAGAUGUUUCAGAACUGUUACCUUUCUCUCCAAUGACAAAGCUGAAGCCCAAAGUGACUACUGAAGACACGGGACAGGGAAGUAUGAGCUAUUGAUGUGUUCUGUUUUUGUGUGAGGAAGGACAGGCACCCUGCGUUGGGGGGUUUGGCCUCCUCGGUGAGCAGCCUUGCCCCUCCAAGCUGCUGGAACAUUCUGUACCCCUCUCUCAGGCCACUGUCCCUGCAGGGCCAGAUGGUGUGGGUUCUGUCUUCCCACGGAUUGGUCCUGGGAUUCCCCGGUGGCAAAAAGCCACAGGCUCCCUCUGGCCUCCCUCAUCCCUUUUGUCUGGAAUCUUCUGUGGCAACCCCACUUCGUCCCACAAACCUGCUCCUCCUUUGUAGUCACACCCUCAUCCCCUAUACCUUCCUCAGCUCCCUCUGUUACUAGUUUCUCUACUAGUACUUUUAAAGGCACCAACUCAGCAUAACUUAGUUAUUUGUCGAAAAGCCCUGGUUGCCAAUUAAAAUCACCCAGGGAUAUAUACAUAUGUUUAACAGAGAUUCCUUGGGACCCCUCCCUCCCCCCAGUCCCGACUCUUUGAUUCUAUCGGUCUGGAGUGGGGUCCCAGCAUCAGUGUUUUUUAAAAGCUCCGAGACCCGGCAAGUUGGAGAUCCGCUGGUCUGAACGUCUGUCUGCCUGCGAUGCCCUCUAUUACUGCUCCUGUUGUCCUCCCCAGGGCAUAGCACGGUCCCUUGUACAUGAUAGGUGCUCAGUAAAAGUGAAAAAGUGAAUGUCCCUACACUGCUAUUUCAGCCACGAGCACUCAUGGAGCAGGAUAAAGGGAGGGUACGAGGUUCCAGCACAGGUAGAGAAAAUACCUGUGCACUUAGACCAGGCAGUACGCGAGGGGGUGCUGUGGAGAGUGAGGUCCUGGGUUCAACUGUGACUGAGGUCACCUCACUCCGCCAGACUCGCCAUCCCCUUCUCCAGGAAUGUGGUGAUGAUACAGGGUCCGGUGUCCCCACACCUGGGAGGAGCCAGUGAGGAAGUGACUCCUGAGAGUCGGUCAGUACACAGGUAUCCAAAAUGGAAUAAGUUACCUUCGUUAUCAUUCUUAAUCCAGAAUAUGUGACUAGUGUGAGUGCCAAUCGCAAAGAAUUAUCAAGAUUUCAUCUUCUGGGCAACGCUGGUGUGAGCUCUGCCGUGAAAACCAUCACCGAGUCCUGGGACUCCUAUGCUCACCAGGUCUGGCUGCGGGGUCCCCACGCUCGCCCAUCCUCAGACACCACCCGCUCUCUGACUCCUGUCCUUGACAGGUUUGUCUCCACUGUCGCUCUGUGCCUUUUUCUUCUUAGGCUUUCUUCCUUCAGGUGUGCAGACACGGCUGGGGAGUGAGCCCUAGAGGCUUUGCUCGGGGUCUCCAGGCCCUGCCCCUCCGCCGUGCUCAGUGCACCACCACGGAGACCCCGCUUCAACACCUGCUGGGGCUGCCAUGCCACGGGGUCGCCUGUCCCAAAGUGAGCCUGAUCUCAGUAUGUUUGCUUCUUAGUUCCCCAUUUCUCCCAGUUACCUUUCAGUGAGAAAAUACAUAAAAGGAAAAGAUGCUGAGAAUUAUUUUCUCUUUCCUGAUUUCUUUUCCACACUCCCUGCACCCCUGCCCCUUGUUUUUUGUUUUUUUUUUCUAAAGAAAUCAAUUAUUUUAAUUCCAGUUUCCUUUCAGGAAAAAAAAAGCUAAGUUCUGUGGAGCUUGAAAUUACCAAGAAAGUCAUGAAAAUAAUUUGUCGUCCUCAUUUAUUUGAACAGAAGCUUAAAGAUGCUGCUGACGACAGAAAUAAAAUCCAGAGCUUUGAGAUUGGAGCUGGACAAUAAUUCGGGUGGAGCGUCACUCAGAGCAGCUGCCCCGUCCAGGCGCUUUGCCGGCACAGGACAGCGUGUCGCCGCGCCUUUAUUUGUGGGCGUGUUCCAGAAAACAGGGAAAGUGCUUUUUCUUGUCCCUCUCUCUCUGUAAAGAGAAAGAUGAAAUGGUUUUCCUUAAGCUCUCCACUUCUCUGGGCUUCCUCACCCCCCUGCCAGCGAUGAUGGGACAGGGCUGGUGCUUUGGGAAGUCAAAGAUACAAAAGGGUGACCCACGGUGGGUCCCCAGCCUGGGGGCACGAUCGAAUGCUCAGGUCAGCAUCAGGGAGCUGAGAGGACGAGGCUAAAUGUCAUGAUUUGUGUAAUUUGACCCAUACUAGAGGCUUUCAGCAAGUGUCAUCCUUCUUUCCUCUCUACUUGGUCCCCUCCAGGGGAUGCAUGGCCUUAUUCCCCAGCUUGCUGCAUCCAGGGAGGAGACCCUAAGGAGCCCCAGCACAUUCCCUGGUGAGUCCAGGUUGCGGCAACUGGGAGCCCUGCCCUGCCUCACAGCCUGGGCGCCUGCCCCCUUACCACCAGUGUUGCCCCAGGCCCCUCCACUCGUGACCUCUGUACCAUCACACGACCUGGCCAACCAGUUGGGGCCUCCUCAGGUCCACCACAGUGGUCCUCGCAUGGGAGAAGGGCAAGCGUGUGCGUGUCUGAGAGGCUGACCCCCUGGCCAAGAGCCGCUGCCCAGAACAAAGCAGGACACCUCUGGCCAGCACUCCCAACAAGGUCAAGAUGUGUGUGUGUCCAGGGCUGUCUGCAGAGGGGAGAGUCCUCACACCGGAACAGCGGUCACACCGUCUCUGCCUCAGACCCGAGUGUCCUGUGGGGAAAGUGCUGGGCUGGGUCCAAAACAGCGUGCACCUGGAACAGAAGAGGAAAGGCAAAGAUCGGUGGGUUUCCUUCCGUGUAACCUGGCGGACGCGCAUCAGGUAUAAAUGGAGACAGGCUACCAAUUUGGGACUGAAAUGAUCAAUUUCUGGCCUAACAGAGCAGGAAGCAGACUGUGUGGCUCUGUUGGUGUGACGUCUCUUAGGAAAAGGAAGUCCUUGAAGAAUCUGCAUCCAGAGAGGCUGUGAGGAUGGAUGUUUUCUUCCAUCUGCUUUGGAAGCCUUCAGAGAAUGACCCAGAACUCCAGGAUCCUGAGCAAACCCCUCCAAGGUCCUGCUGGCUGGACUAAGAAUCAAAUUGACAUGAGACAUUAACAGGAGAAAAUCAAAUUUAAUGGGCGUGUGCAUGAGGAAUGCACACAGACCUGGAAAUUCUGAAGACAGUAGGGCAAACUGAGGCGUGUGUGUCACGGGGAAUGUGAGGGUCUGGGGCUGCCAGGGAAAGGAACCCACCCCGCAGGUUGGAAAGAGGACAGAUGCUCGGCAAUUCGACGUCUGUCCUGCCGUACAGAUGGCUCACCCGGAUAACAUUCAUCUCUGCUAAUAGUUCUUAUUCUGGGAAAGGCCCCCCGUUUAGAGUCUCCCGUGGAGUUAAGGGAGGCUCGGAAGUUUCUCCUGAGCCCACAGGGUCUCCGUUGCCCUCAGCUGGGAUCUUGGUGCCACAGUGGUCCUGGGGUCGGCCUGCCCUCAGCCCUGCACCCUGAGGCUGUCCGGGAGCCUGAGGUGAUGUCAGCCUUUAAGAUACCAGUAGAUUAUUUUUGCUCCCUCCCUGGUAAAAUUAGAAACUUAAUUAAAAUGUCAUCAAGUGAGGCCGCGAAUCCCACAUCCCGGAUCUGAAAUAUGCACGAUGGAACCUACCGCCUGCAUUAGCUUCCGCCCUUUAAAACACUUUUCUCAGCUGCUCCAGGGGGACGUUUGCCGGGUGGGGAAGGCAACGUCGCGGAGAAUGUCUUCCGUGCUGGUGACAAAGACACUCCUUCACCUGCUAGGUCCCACGUGAGUCUCGGUGGGAACGUCACCCACACCCCAUCUUUCACCGUCUCAGCAGAUCUGGGACCUGCUGUCGCGUCUGCGGGAUCGCCGGACUAGCUUCUGUGUCUCCCGUUUGGGCUCUGAUUCUCCGUCGUUCAGAAUUCCACCUAAAGUAAAAACAGAAAAAAAAAAAAAAAAGAACUUCUUGCUGUGUUUAUCUUGAGGAUUUGGGAACUGUGCGAGGACAGACCAGGGCCAGAUGCAGCUGACCACUGGCCUGUAACGAGGGUGGCUCAGAACCUCCGAAGCUUCUUGAACCCCAGCGACCAGAGGUCCCUCAUCACACGUGUGUCUUCUGUCUCUGCCCUGCCUCCCCUUCCCUUCCUUCACCCUCUCUUCCCACCCCUCCUCACCUGCCUGCCAUGGCUGCGAGCUGGGGAUGGCUGUGUGGACCUCAGCUCAUGGGGGAGAGAGGGGGGUUCCCUUGGCUCGUCCUGAUGGCCGAGGCAGGAGGAUCAAUACCGCCCAGAGUCCCUAAUGGCAGAGAAAGGGACUGCUAACAGCUCUGUGGCGUCUUGGUCUAACUGAGUCUCACGUGGCUGCCGAGGGUCUAUUUAUAAACCUUAUUGUUUGUUGUAUUACAAUCAUGGAGUCGUUUUACUUUUGUGAAUUUUACAAUAAAGAAUUUGAUCCUA